rnacentral:rRNA from 1 species
UACGUAGGCAGCGAGCGUUGUUCGGAUUUACUGGGCGUAAAGCGCACGUAGGCGGAUCUUUAAGUCAGAGGUGAAAUCCCAAGGCUCAACCUUGGAACUGCCUUUGAUACUGGGGAUCUCGAGUUCGGGAGAGGUGAGUGGAACUGCGAGUGUAGAGGUGAAAUUCGUAGAUAUUCGCAAGAACACCAGUGGCGAAGGCGGCUCACUGGCCCGAUACUGACGCUGAGGUGCGAAAGCGUGGGGAGCAAACAGG